GCCAGGAUGGCGGAAUUGGCAGACGCAGUGGAUUCAAAAUCCACCGCCCGCAAGGGUGUGGGGGUUCGAGUCCCCCUCCUGGUACCA
rnacentral:tRNA from 1 species